rnacentral:rRNA from 1 species
AGCGAACGCUGGCGGCAGGCUUAACACAUGCAAGUCGAGCGGGCGUAGCAAUACGUCAGCGGCAGACGGGUGAGUAACGCGUGGGAACGUACCUUUGGUUCGGAACAACACAGGGAAACUUGUGCUAAUACCGGAUAAGCCCUUACGGGGAAAGAUUAUCGCCGAAAGAUCGGCCCGCGUCUGAUUAGCUAGUUGGUGAGGUAACGGCUCACCAAGGCGACGAUCAGUAGCUGGCUGAGAGGAUGAUCAGCCACAUUGGGACUGAGACACGGCCCAAACUCCUACGGGAGGCAGCAGUGGGGAAUAUUGGACAAUGGGCGCAAGCCUGAUCCAGCAACGCCGCGUGAGGGAUGACGGCCU